UUUGCUGAGCAUCCAUCUCAUCUGAUGACAUGUUUUCCCUUCAGCCAGCACUGCCUUGUUUCCAGCACAGGCUCAUUACUGUACCCAUGCAGUAGCUUUUCACUUCGGCCAGUGUGUGAAGGAAAACAAAGCCCCAGUGCAUUUCCUCUCUCCAGGGGCUGGCAAGCUGGAUCCCUACAGAAGGAUCAUCCCAGAAAGAUGUUGGCUGCACUGAUGUCAUUGAUGUCCACAGGACACUCAUCAAUAUCUGGAUGGAAAAACAUGCAAGGGAUCAACUGCUGGUAGAAGAAUUAACGGGUGAAAAUCAAAGUUUUGCCGUUGGGCAUGAGGCGGUAUCCCGCGGGACAGGCACACUGGAAGCUGCCCAGGCUGUUCCUGCACUCGUGCUGACACGUGUCUCUGCUCUCACACUCAUCGAUGUCUGCGGAGAGAAGCACCAACACCUCAGCGCUCCCUGAGCCUGCCAUGAACGCAGAUUACUGCUGCCAAUGGGAAUCUGACAGAAGCACUCUAAGUAAGCUGGGGCUGCUGGUGGCUUUUGUUGUGUGAGAAGA